UUAAAAAGCUCGUAGUUGGAUUUCUGCGGGAGACGAAGGGUCUACCUUACGGGUAAGUAUCUCUCAGGCUCCUGCAUCCUCAACAGGAACGUCGCUGCGAUUCAUUUCGUGGUACGGUACUGUUGACUUUUACUUUGAGGAAAUUAGAGUGUUCACGGCAAGCAAACGCGUGUAUACAUUAGCAUGGAAUAAUAAUAUAGGACCUUGGAUCUAUUUUGUUGGUUUCUAGAACUAAGGUAAUGAUAAAUAGGGACAGUUUGGGGGCAUUUGUACUAACGCGUCAGAGGUGGAAUUCUUGGAUUGCGUUAUGACAAACUACUGCGAUAGCAUUUGCCAAGGAUGUUUUCAUUGAUCAAGAACCGAAAGUAUGGGGAUCGAAGACGAUUAGAUACCGUCCGUAGUCUAUACCAUAAAACUAUGCCCAAACUAGGAAUGAGACGGAUGUAUAU
rnacentral:rRNA from 1 species